CAGCCGGAGAGUCGACGUCUAUCGCGCAAGUGCGUCUACGUACAUGGCCGUGCUGUGACAUUACGCACUGUGACAUG
rnacentral:lncRNA from 1 species